GGUUGAGUAACAUAACGGUAAUGUGUGUGUUUGCAAAACUCAAAAUGAUGGUUCAAAUCCAUUCUCAACCU
rnacentral:tRNA from 1 species